CAGCAGCAGGAGCAGCAGCAGCAGCAGCAGGAGCAGCAGCAGGAGCAGCAGGAGCAGCAGCAGCAGCAGGAGCAGCGUUGCUAGCAUGGGUCCCUAGAACCAUCUGUGGUGUUUUGUCCAUGUGUGUGCAGUGCCCAAAGAGGUCAGAGAGGACUUCAGAUCUAGAACGGAGUAACAGACACAUGUGAGCUUCCAUGAACCUGGAAGCAGGAGCUGAUCGAGGCCAUUGAGGA